CAAUGCUCGCAAGAGUGAACUAGCUAACUGAAAUCACAGGAUCCACUACGUGUGGUGAAUGUUAUAACGUAAGGGAAAAAAAUGAUAUUACCUUACUAUUAGUGUUGUCCAAAACUGGUGCCAGAAGACUCGGUAAGGCCAGAGACGCAAACGUUAGUCGUCCUAAUCAGGCGUAAAGGGUAUGUAGGCUGCUUUAAAAGUUUAGUUUUAUAUUUUAAUAGCUCAGUUUAAAUAUAUUGAAAUAUCAAUAUCUUAAACAGUAAAAUAUACAAUGAAUUAAAGCUAGGAUCAAAUUGAGGAUAAUUUAAAUAAUACUUAGUGUAGGGUUUACAUCUGGUGAUACUAAGGGGAGUACUAACGGUGAAAGCUUUUUAUCUAGAAAUGAUUGACGCUGAGAAACGAAGGUGAGAAUAGGAAAUAGGAUUAGAUACCCAGAUACCUCUCACAGUCAACGAUGAAUGGUGGUUGUUAGUUAGUUUUAUUUAACUGAUAACGAUGUUAACACGAUAACCWUUCCGCCUUGCGAGUACGGUUGCAAAACUGAAACCAAAAAAAUUAKUCGGUCUCGAAGCAAACGAAGUGAAGCAUGUA
rnacentral:rRNA from 1 species